rnacentral:misc_RNA from 1 species
GCCGCUUAGUGCCGGCUAAAUCUGACCGGACACCGGCGUCCAGUACGAUCGUGAUCGUCAACUCGCCCAGGGAGAGUUUGCACAGCGUCGACACGGUGGUUUCUUCUUUUUUUUUUUUAUACGUGCGAAACGACGUCUAGUAGCAAACUGAAUCGCACAGAUGCUGGAAGAAACCCCUGGUGUCUACCAACGGCGCUCCGCUGCGUCACGAUCGAACGGAUUCGGCUUCCGCCGUCAACACGGAAAUGGGUUCGGUUUAUUCGAUGAGCAACUGGAUGGAAUCCAGCUGGGCCGUCGCAUACGUCAAGAAUUCCAACGAAGAUCUGACGCAAAUGAAUCAAUCGGAAGGCCAGCGGAAGGCCAGAAAAGUCGCCUUCGGUGCGGAUGUCAAGUAGGAGAGCGAUCACCACCGUUCGUGGCCAGAGCUCCGACGCCGGACAAUUUUUUCUCGCGCGGGAGAUCGCCGUGUUCCACGACGUCCGAGUCGUCAACGGCCACUAUUCCGGGCAUGUCGGCGGCAUAGCUCAUCCGCAAUCUACGCCCAAAUCCGGUCAUGAUGGUGGCUCGCUGCGAAGUCAAAGAAUCCGUCUUCCGGCCUCCAGUUUCUACGGAAUUUGAAACGGAAACGCUUUUGCCGUUGGAAACGGAUUCUUUAUCCGUCAGGGCUGAUCACGGCUAUCAUUCCCUAGAGCCUGAAGCGGAAUCCAGUGCCAUUAAGAGACACCAAUCGUCCUCCAUCCGGCAGCAGACGACGGUGGAUGAAACGAGAACGAUCGAUGAAACAAUCGCGCAGCUCAACGAAACCAUCGAAAAGAUCCGUUCGCUCGACGUCAUCCGCCUGGAAGCGGAAUCCGAACGAAAUGGGACGAAUCUAACUCCGAUUCAGGCUCCUGUAACCAAAAUGGACAUGGGGAAUCCGUCGGCCAGCAGCAGCCCUUACCCAGUCAAAAUCGAUAAACCAAGUGGAUUUUAUCCAGGACUUGCGCAUCCCAAAAGCGGUUCCAAAAUACCGGAAAAUCGGUUCGUCAUCCGCGAAAUCCGGCCCUUCGGCAGCGUCCAGGAAGCUCGCACUUUCUUCCAGUCCACGGCAUCCAGCGAAAUGACGCGUUCAACAGAGUGACAUCGAAUCACCGUGAUUCAACUGAAUUGGAAGGCGGUCGGCUGGCGGAAGCGCCUGAAAUCAAGUCGGCUAAUCAUCAGCUGCAGCGCUUGCGGGAAACCACCAAGUUACUGGUGGAAGGGCAUCCGCAGCUGCGGGCGGAUUUGGCCGUCAAUGCCAGAUUGAGCCAAACGAACGAAACCAACCCUAACGUCGGCCGCCACGUCAACCAAAAUGGCGACGUGGCGACGUCAGAGAUGAUUCUAACCAGUAAAACCAGCCCGGAGCAAAAGAGGCGGCAAUCGUUCGUGAUGACCUCGGGAGUCGAACAUCACGCCGUCGAACCAACCAUUCCCGUUGUUCAUCAUAAACCAUCCGAAUCGACCGAGAUGAGAGACGACGCGAGCGUCGAAGAAUUGAUGAGCAAAUUCGACGCAACGAUAGAUGAAGCUCUCUCGGAUAAUUGACGAGUUAAGGGAUUCCAUCAUCCGCAAGAGCAGUUCGGUUAAAUCGAUG